ensembl:misc_RNA Metazoa_SRP Metazoan signal recognition particle RNA
GCCAGGCAUGGCGGCGGGCGCCUGUAAUCCCAGCUACUUGGGAGGCUGAGGCAGGAGAAUCGCUUGAACCCAGGAGGCAGAGGUUGCAGUGAGCCUAGAUUGUGCCACUGCACUCUGGCCUGGGUGACAGAGCAAGACUCUGCCUCAA